rnacentral:rRNA from 1 species
GAUCAUGGCUCAGGAUGAACGCUAGCGACAGGCUUAACACAUGCAAGUCGAGGGGCAGCGGGGAGUAGCAAUACUUCGCCGGCGACCGGCGCACGGGUGAGUAACACGUGUGCAACCAACCCCGUACAGGGAGAUAACCCGCGGAAACGUGGACUAACAUCCCAUAACACUGGAGGAUCGCAUGAUCUUUCAUUUAAAAUUCCGGUGGUACGGGACGGGCACGCGCGGCAUUAGGUAGUUGGCGGGGUAACGGCCC